AGUGAACGCUGGCGGUGGGCCUAACACAUGCAAGUCGAACGGCAGCACAGUAAGAGCUUGCUCUUACGGGUGGCGAGUGGCGGACGGGUGAGGAAUACAUCGGAAUCUACUUUUUCGCGGGGGAUAACGUAGGGAAACUUACGCUAAUACCGCAUACGACCUACGGGUGAAAGCAGGGGAUCUUCGGACCUUGCGCGAUUGAAUGAGCCGAUGUCGGAUUAGCUAGUUGGCGGGGUAAAGGCCCACCAAGGCGACGAUCCGUAGCUGGUCUGAGAGGAUGAUCAGCCACACUGGAACUGAGACACGGUCCAGACUCCUACGGGAGGCAGCAGUGGGGAAUAUUGGACAAUGGGCGCAAGCCUGAUCCAGCCAUACCGCGUGGGUGAAGAAGGCCUUCGGGUUGUAAAGCCCUUUUGUUGGGAAAGAAAAGCAGCAGGUUAAUACCCCGCUGUUCUGACGGUACCCAAAGAAUAAGCACCGGCUAACUUCGU
rnacentral:rRNA from 1 species